CACGUAGGCGGUGUCGCAAGUCAGGGGUGAAAUCCCGGGGCUCAACCCCGGAACUGCCCUUGAAACUGCAACACUAGAAUACUGGAGAGGCAAGUGGAAUUCCGAGUGUAGAGGUGAAAUUCGUAGAUAUUCGGAAGAACACCAGUGGCGAAGGCGACUUGCUGGACAGUGAUUGACGCUGAGGUGCGAAAGCGUGGGGAGCAAACA
rnacentral:rRNA from 1 species